AGGCGGGGCGCGGGCGGGUCGGACCGCGGCAGACGCGGCUGGCAAGAUGCGAGUCUGGUGCUGUGCACCCCGCUCCGAUUCGCCGGGGCAAGGGACACCGGGAGGACACGGGGUACAGAGCCUCGGCCGAACCGACCGGAACCCGAGUCCGCCUACCGCUCCACCGCCCCGGGGACCUCAGACGGGACGGGCACCGCUGAGGACCGCGGGACCCCGCCGUCCGCUGCGUCACCUCGGACGCGGGCAAAACUUCGGAGCUUCACUUAUCGCAACUGCAGCCUCAACACAACAGCCUGCAGGGGGCUGAAGUGACACGGCGGCCGCACUCGGGACCGCUUGGGCCGACUGUCGCCCUCAGCGGCGAGACCGCCAGGCGCGGGAGGGGGGAAUCCGGGAGGCGCCGGCCUGCGAGCCCACUGUGACCCCGGGAGCUGCUAGCGACCGCCGACCCUUGGGAGGAACUUUUCCCACUUUCGGUGCGUGAGAGGCCGCCGCAGCUCCUGCUCCCUUAGCCCCUUUUCUGAGGAAACCCGCGCAGCGUAAUCCUGACCGGGCUGCGGAGAGGGCGAGCAGAUAGACUUGCGCUCUCCCGCAGCGCAUGCUCCGUGGUUUGGGUUUGGGCGGGUUCCCAGGGCGGAGAGGCUGGUUUAAGUGGGCCUCCGCUGUUUGGUCGGGCUGUUCAGAGCACGCCCACCGCAUUCUGAUGGACAGCUUCUUACCUGCGGGGUGGCUUCCACGGUGCUCAGUGGCCUUAAAAAGCUAAUCUUAGGUAAUUCCAGGCAGCACCUCUGGCCCAGAUACCCUAAGGCUCUGAAUCUGACGACCCGGCAGUGGCAAAGACAGCCCCAUUUCGUCUCACUGGACCAGAAAGCUAAACUCUGGCCUAAAACGUAAUCUUAAAGUGGUGGGGAAAAAUACUUAUCCAGUUGCACAGAGUAGAACACUACCGUUCUGGACUUAAUGGGCAGGUCUGCCUCGUAAUAAGAAGACUGGAGGUUAGGCACGCAGUAAGCCCGCAGUAAAUGCUUGCUGCAUCCGAUUGUUUUCCUAGUGGAUUGAGACCACAGGAUGUGGCACUGAGUGAGCCUGACAGGUUGUAAGAUAAACAAAACAAGGAAUGUGUGAUAAAAACAAUUACACACCAACCCAUUUCCUCUGUGAAAUAAGAGACUGGAGUAGACAUUCCCCAGGCCUCUUCUUAUCUAAGGGUAGAGCUGGGCCACACCACUCAGAGCCAGUGGCAGGUAGAGCAGCUGACAGACCAGGCCUCACCCUGACUGUUGCUGGAAAUUUCUACUAUUUUGUGUGACCAUACACGGCUUCCGUCUACACCACUAAGAUACACUGGAGGAUGUCAGCCCUGGCCUUAUCUGACCUGUUAAAUAAGAAUCUGAACCCUGAAUUAAGGGUUCUCUUUGAACUUCUGACUCCCUCAGAAGUCCUAGACAGCACAAAUUUUUUCCCAGUUCAACCAUAUCUACUUCUGUAGGAGGAAAACAUUAUAGAUUUUUAAUUAAAAACAACAAAUGUAAUCCAGCUCAUGGUAUUCUACAGGGACUCAGUCUGUUUUCUGUUUGGUAUCAGUAUUUCUAUGUGGGUUUGGGCUUGAUAGUAUUACUGACAAAGAAAAGCAACAAUAAGGAAAGCACUCGAGAUUGUGGGGUUUUGUUUUCUUUAUUCUUUCCUUCUUUUUUUGUUUGUUUGGGGUUUUUGUUUGUUUCAUCCAUACCCUACUGCUUCUGAAUUCUGUACCUGCCUGCUGAUUCAUCAUAUUCAAGAAUUGGCAGGUUUUCAUUUAGGAAGCAGAGGAUGAUGUCUAAUGUGCUAAAAGAAGUUAUUGACAGUGUCUAACUAAGUACAAGUUCUGACAGAAAAGGAGGCAUGGAAAUGUGAACUGAGCCCAGGAAGACAGAUUUACCCAGUGUUGAGCCUUUUUUUCUUGGUGAAGAAAUGCAGUAUGUUGAUAACAAAUGGAUCGUUCCUCAUGUUUAACUUUGAGCAACAACUCAGUUUUCACUGUUAUGGGUUGAAUCACGUGCUCUCUCCACCCCUAAAGGUAGGUAUUGAAGUCCUGACCUUAGCACCUAUAAAUGUGGCCUUGUUUGGAAAUAGGACUUUACAGGUAUAAUCAAGUUAAAUGAAAUCAUUCUGAAUUAAGUGGUGUCCAAUAUGAGUGGUGUCCUUGGAAGAAAAAACAAAACAACCAAAACACAGGCAGAGCACCAUGUGAUAACAAAUUCCAGAGUUGGACUAAUGUAUAUACAAGCCAGGGAAUGCCAAGGAGUGCCAGGAACCACAUAAGAGGUGGGAAAAGAUAAGAUAGAAUUGUCCCAGGCUGGGGAUUUAGCUCAGUGGUUCCAGAGCCUGCCUCGAAAGCCCAAGGUCCCAAGUUUGAUCCCUGACGACAACAACAAAAAGAUAGAAUUGUCCCCUAGAGCCCUCAGAAGGAAGAUGGCCCUGGUGACAUCUUGAUUUCAGACUUCUGGCCUCCAGAACUGUGAGAGAAUAAAUUCUGUUGUGUAAGUAAUCCAGCCUGUAGUCCCUCAUUACAGCAGCCCUGGGAAACCAAUAUUCUUACCAAAUGCUGCUUUCUUAACUCCCCACCAGAAUGGACCCAGAAUUCCAUGAGUUCUACUGACAUUGACCUUUUCCUGGAGACAGAGGGUCACACUAUAAAAGAAGGUACAUCAGUUCAGAAGUUCUCCAUGGAAUGAGGCUGAUCUCUAGGUAGGCCAGAUGGAGGGCAUUUAAGGUAUGGCAGAAGAUAUCUGCCUACUUUAGCUCAGGGAGGAAUCUGGUUUUUGUUUUUCCAAAACUACUGGAAGAAAGCUUCCUUCCUGUUGAGAUUGAUACCUGUAAGUAGUGGAGAGAGAAUGUAAAUGUAGUCAGGUUUGAAAACUUGCAUAUAAAUGACUAUACUAUACCCAAAUACUUAUAAUUCAAGCAUUAUCCAUGUUUUAAUGAUAUUCUCUGUCAUUUCCUUUUAAAAUUUGUUUUACAAUUUGCAUAUGUCCUAAUGAAACAUAAUUAAUCUUUUCCACAUAUAACUUGAAAGAACAUAUCUGUUUCUAGCAAAAGUAACCAAUAAAAAGUCGAUGCUCCUGGGGAUUGUGACAUCUAGGAGACUCACUAUUUUGUCCUGGCAUUGACUGAGUUCUUUAAAUAAACAUCUGUUACUUCAUAGUGAAGCAUAGUGAGCAGACAGCCUUGGCUGCUAGUUCUGUCAGGGUCAGCUAGAGCUGUAGAAAGGAUCACAUACUUGCCAGGAAAAGCUGGCAAGGUGAAUGAAUGAAGUAGAAGCAGAAAAGGUUGGCUAUUUCAGGCUGAUAUAGAACAUCCUGGUAGAGCAUUUUUUUCCUAAAGCUUCCUGUUAGGUUGGCAAAGCUUUGCAAGGCCUCCAUCGCUGUUCAGUUUCUCCCUCUGCCACUCCUAGAUCACCUCCUUCCCUUCACAGGUGUUGGUCCUUACAAAACGUCUCCCCUAACUUGCACUCCGAACUGCAUGUCAACAUCUGCUUGUGAGAAUUCACUCUGGAACAACCAAGAAUGUAGCAUAGAGGAUUAAAUAGAAGACAUAGGAAAAGAUUAAAAGAAGUGGAGGAAGAGGAAUGAAAAUAUCAUGUGAAAUUGCAAGAGGAAAUAAAAAGAAAUCCACAGCUAGACACAUCAAAGUGAAACUGUAAAACAAUACAAAGAGAAUCAGAUGAAAUGGAAAGACAGACUACUCACAAAGAUAAAUGACAACAAUAACAAUAAGAGCUAAAAAAAAUGGAAUAAUCCCAAUGUGCCAACAGAAAAUACCUGCGACUAAUGCCAAUGUGCUAACAGAAAAUAUCUGCCAACUGAGAAUUUUAUGCUAACUGAAAUUACUUGUCAAGAAUGAAGGCAAAAUGCAAACAACUGAAAUGAUACCAAGCAGAAAUAGAAAAUCUGAAUAGCCCUAUACCAAGUGGUGAUUGAAUUAGUAUUAUAAAACUUCCCACAAAUGACAUAGUUUUGUAUAUCAAAAAAACCUAAGGAAAGCACACACAUACACACACACAUGCAUGCACAAUUAGAGCUAAUUAGCCAGUUCAGCAAUGUUGUGAGAUGCAAGAUUAAUAUACAAACAUUUUUAUAUUUAUACAGUAAUAAAGGGCAGUCCAAAAAAUGAAAUUAAGUAAACAGUUCUAUUUACAAUAGCAUCAAAAAGAAUAACUACUAUAGCAUCAAAAUAAUGACAAUAGCAUCAAAAUAGCAUCAAAAAGAAUAAACUACUUAGGUCUAAAUUUAACAAAAUGAAUUCAAGACUUGUACUCGAACAUAGAAAACUUGAAAUAAAUUAAGUAGGGCUACAUAAAUGGUAAGACAUACCACCAUAUUGGGUUGUAAGACUUAAUAUUAUUGAAAUGAAAAUAUUGUCCAUAUUGAUAUACAGAUUCAACACAAUCCCAUCAAAAUACCAGUUAGGUUUUUUUUACAGCUGACAAACUGAUCCUAAAAUUCAUAUGGAAAUACAAGAAACUCAGACUAGCCAACACAGACACAAAAAUAAAAAUCAAGCUGGAUGAUUCACAUGUCUCAUUUCAAAAUUUACUACGAAG
rnacentral:lncRNA from 1 species